rnacentral:rRNA from 1 species
UGAGUAGGCGGUUGCAUAUGUCAGAUGUAAAAGGCACAGGCUUAACUUGUGUUAGCAUUUGAAACUGUGUGACUUGAGUGCAGGAGAGGUAAGUGGAAUUCCUAGUGUAGCAGUGAAAUGCGUAGAUAUUAGGAGGAACACCAGUGGCGAAGGCGACUUACUGGACUGUAACUGACGCUGAGUCACGAAAGCGUGGGUAGCAAACA